UACGUAGGUGGCAAGCGUUGUCCGGAUUUACUGGGCGUAAAGAGCGCGCAGGCGGUCGUACAAGUCGCGUGUGAAAGCCCCCCGGCUCAACUGGGGAGGGUCACGCGAUACUGUUCGACUCGAAGGCAGGAGAGGGAAGUGGAAUUCCCGGUGUAGUGGUGAAAUGCGUAGAUAUCGGGAGGAACACCAGUGGCGAAGGCGACUUCCUGGCCUGUUCUUGACGCUGAGGCGCGAAAGCUAGGGGAGCAAACGGG
rnacentral:rRNA from 1 species